CCCCGUCAAACCUCCAUAUCGUGAGUUUCUACCCUCUACCCUCAGCUUCCGUCCCCGCCGCCAAAUCCUUAGCCGCCGUCGCAGCUGCUCAAACCCUAGACGUCCUUCACCGCCUGUCCAUCCAUUGGACGCCACCAUCCGACCGCAGAGACAGAAUGGUCCCGUCUGAUCCGUCGCUGAUGAGUCGCUGAUCAUCGGAUCUGCGCGCGAUCCAGAUGAAUAAACACCGCGAUCCAGACGAAUAAACACUAUCUGGAUCGCCGAUUGCAAAUACAUACUGUUCCCGUGUGACCCCUCUGAGAUCAGCAGCUUUGGACCGGCGUGACCAUCCCAGGUUCGACCUCUACUGCAAACCCUUUCAGAUCUUUGUGAUCAUACGGUCCCAAUACUGCCUUCGUGAUCUCUGAUCGGUACCGUGGUCAUGCUGUACAAGAUUUGAAAACCAUGAAUCAGAUCGGUACCGUGGUCAUGAAUACCAUGAAUCAAAAUAUACUGUUCUGUCACUUUCCAAUGACGGAUAUAUAUGAAAUUUACAACUGACUGGCUAAUAUGGCCAGCGUUCCAUACCUGCUAUGAUCAAAUUUGUCAGGCCCAUAUUGUUUAUUCUUCUUGAUUGAAUUCUUCCAGGUGGUGAAGCGUCUCGUUCUUGCAGGUGGCGGCCCUCGUAGACGGUGUCAUCAGCAGCAACAUCUGGCAAGUGCAACGACUUUGCAGCUCACAACUCCAGUUCCCAGCCUGAAAGUGACAUAAACAACAGGUUUGUUUCCCGAGUAAUAAUAGUGAAGGUUCCAUCAGAUGUUUCUUGCACCAGUUAUUGGGAAAACAUAAUAGAUGAGGCAUGAUUCUGGUGGCAAGUUGCAUCACUACCAAAUAGGAACUUCUCAACCGGAGUUUGCAAGCAUAGUGUACCUGUUAACCUUGUUGAGAUGAUGUUGGGCUUCGGAAGCAUCCUGAUAACGACUGAGCAUCUCACCACUUCUGAAAAUGUGUAUUAUGCAUCUCGCAAUAGGAACACAUGCAAAUAAGUUUGACAAAAUAAUGUGAUC
rnacentral:lncRNA from 1 species